rnacentral:tRNA from 1 species
GUGGUGGCUCAGUGGUAGAGUCCUUGCCUAGCACGUGUGAGGGACUGGGUUUGAUCCUCAGCACCACA